rnacentral:lncRNA from 8 species
GUCCCCCAGUCUCUGCUAUCACCUCAUGUUUGUAUUUGAAGAGUUGCAGGUCAGCCUGAGGGCUCCAGCUAUAACUGGGUAAACAACUGGGGCCAUCGACCCAGCUCUCCUCGUCUGUCUUUAGAUAUGACUCAGCCAUUUAAAGGCGACCACUGGUCAAACUACAAUCUCCAUAGGAAAAGCUGAUGACUCCUAAAGCUAACGUUGGGUAAUAUAUUUUAUAAACUGGGUGGUUUGAGCCCUGAAUGCUGAUUGGCUGAACGGCGUAGUAUAUCAGACCGUGUAAGAUAAUAACUCGCUGCUCUAAACUCCUCUUCUUCUUAUAUAAACCUCGCCUGGUUCCCCACAGUCUCUCCUUACUAUUUCACUCGCUAUGGCUUCUCAGCGGACUGCAAAGUGGUGGCGUUCCCUGGGGACAACCCAGUAGCAAAACCUCUGUUAUAAACGUCUCAUCAGCGGUGUCUCCAGUUCCAGGAAGUCGAGUGCUGGCCACCGGAGGGGCUUCUUCUAACAAGGACUUUCUGCAGGUGCUAUCUGACAUAUUCAAUGCUCCUGUGAACACCAUUGACGUGGCCAACUCUGCCUGGCUAGGCUGUCAUGAUGGAAUGAUUGUGAUGACUGUGGACUACAGGACUACAGGACUACAGGACUACAGGAAAAGGAGGAUGGAGCACGCCACCAUUCUCAUCCACGGGGCUGUAGUGGAGCAGGUUGAGAGCUUCAAGUUCCUUGGUGUCCACAUCACCAACAAACUAGAAUGGUCCAAACACACCAAGACAGUCGUGAAGAGGGCACGACAAAUCCUUUUCUCCCCCAGGAAACUAAAAAGAUUUGGCAUGGGUCCUGAGAUCCUCAAAAGGUUCUACAGCUGCAACAUCGAGAGCAUCCUGACUGCUCGGCCUCCGACCACAAGGCACUACAGAGGGUAGUGCGUACGGCCCAGUACAUCACUGGGGCUAAGCUGCCUGCCAUCCAGGACCUCUACACCAGCCUGUGUCAGAGGAAGGCCCUAAAAAUGGUCAAAGUCCCCAGUCACCCCAGUCAUAGACUGUUCUCUCUACUACCGCAUGGCAAGCGGUACCGGAGUGCCAAGUCUAGGACAAAAAUACUUCUCAACAGUUUUUAUCCCCAAGCCAUAAGACUCCUGAACCGGUACUCAAAUGGCUACCCGGACUAUUUGCAUUGUGUGCCCCCCCACCCCCCAACCCCUCUUUUACGCUGCUGCUACUCUCUGUUUAUCAUAUAUGCAUAGUCACUUUAACUAUACAAUCAUGUACAUACUACCUCAAUUAGCCUGACCAAACGGUGCCCCUGCACGUUGGCUACCCGGGCUAUCUGCAUUGUAUCCCGCCACCCACCACCCGCCAACCCCUCUUUUACGCUACUGCUACUCUGUUUAUCAUACAUGCAUAGUCACUUUAACCAUAUCUACAUGUACAUACUACCUCAAUCAACCCGACUAACCGGUAUCUGUAUAUAGCCUUGCUACUGUUAUUUUUCCCUGUCUUUUUACUGUUGUUUUUAUUUCUAUACUCUAUACCUUUUUUGAGAAAUUGCACUGUUGGUUAGAGCCUGUAAGUAAGCAUUUCACUGUAAGGUCUACACCUGUUGUAUUCGGCGCACGUGACAAAUAAACUUUGAUUUGAUUU